rnacentral:tRNA from 1 species
GGAGAGAUGGCCGAGUGGAUUAAGGCAGCAGUCUUGAAAACUGCCGUAGGUGUGAGCCUACCGUGGGUUCGAAUCCCACUCUCUCCGCCA